AGACAUGAUAAUAUAAUAAGUACCAGAAAUUAGAGUAUUCAAGAAAUUGUUAACCAAGCCACUUACAGGGGCAGGCUCAUUUUCUCUUUCUGGUUCAUUGGUGCUACCACACAAGAACUAUGCAAGACAUGGUUCAAGUCCAUCUCAUUUGGAUGUAAUAUGGUAUAUAUGGACAGGAG